UAUUUUCUAAAAAAAUCUAGGUGAAAUUCUUGAAGGUUUUAGUGGAAAAAGCGUGAAAAUGCUGUUCACUUAGGAUUAUUCGCACGCCUAAAUUUUAAACCGUGUCAAGAUUAGGAAUUUACCCCUGUUUUAACCUUGAGUUAACCGUGUUUUAAUCUCUCAAGGGUUGAUUUUCAUCCUUGCCACGGUUAGUAUUGGUGGAUUGGUGCAAUGUGUGCGCGUCUAAAGCCAUUGUGCGGCGUUUCCUCAAGUUUUCACGAAGUUUUCACAGAAUUUAUCCCAAUUUUCCACCAUCAAUGCCUAAAUAAACAGUGAGAAAUUAAUUUUCAUAAAAAAUAUCGGUGAAAUUCUUGAAGGUGUUAGUGGAAAAAUCGUGAAAAUGCUGUUCUCUGAGGAUUAUCCGCACGCCUACAUUUUAAACCGUGUCAAGAUUAGGAGUUUACCCCUGUUUUAACCUUGAGUUAACCUGUUUUAAUCUCUCAAGGAUUGAUUUUCAUCCUUGCCACGAUGUCGGAAUCCGAACUCCAGAUUUGCAGAAGUUGGAACGAGAGGAUCAUAUACUGAAACAUGGAAAUUCUACCUAAAAUUUCAAGAGGAGAGAGCAGAAGCACGCCAGGGAGCAGUGGAAAGUGCAAAACAAAAUAAUUGCCACCGUCCUAACCUUACACAUCUUUUGAAGUGGUGCAGGCUGAAGCAGGAUUGUUUAUUUUAAGGAAUUACGUAGGUUUUUUAGAAACCAAAAAAUAUGCCCUCUUUAAUUUUUUUUUUUAAAUAUAAUAAAGAAUAUUUCUUCAAAUCCAACUCUGAAACAUAAAAGUACAACAUUAGAACAAUAUUUUCUAAAAUUUUCAUUUACAAAUUUUAAGAGGCUGAUCUUUUAAAAUGAUUUUCGGAGACAUAACUGACAUAAUUUUUCUCUGAAAUCAGAAAACUAAAUAUUUGCUGUUAGCAGUUGAGCAAAACUUAUAUUUCAACAAAAGAUUAAAAACAUGAAAUAUGUUUUCAAUAGCAUUUUUUACAAGAAAAAAAGGCGUAUUUUACACUACAUUUCGUUGUGCAAAAUAAGGUAUGA